GAUGAACGCUGGCGGCGUGCCUAAUACAUGCAAGUCGAGCGAACGGACAAGAAGCUUGCUUCUCUGAUGUUAGCGGCGGACGGGUGAGUAACACGUGGAUAACCUACCUAUAAGACUGGGAUAACUUCGGGAAACCGGAGCUAAUACCGGAUAAUAUUUUGAACCGCAUGGUUCAAAAGUGAAAGACGGUCUUGCUGUCACUUAUAGAUGGAUCCGCGCUGCAUUAGCUAGUUGGUAAGGUAACGGCUUACCAAGGCAACGAUGCAUAGCCGACCUGAGAGGGGGAUCGGCCACACUGGAACUGAGACACGGUCCAGACUCCUACGGGAGGCAGCAGUAGGGAAUCUUCCGCAAUGGGCGAAAGCCUGACGGAGCAACGCCGCGUGAGUGAUGAAGGUCUUCGGAUCGUAAAACUCUGUUAUUAGGGAAGAGCAUAUGUGUAAGUAACUGUGCACAUCCUGACGGUACCUAAUCAGAAAGCCACGGCUAACUACGUG
rnacentral:rRNA from 1 species